AAUUUAAACUACUGCACCUAAAAUUAUAUCUUAAUCCAACAUCGAGGUCGCAAUCUUUUUUAUCAAUAUGAACUCUCCAAAAAAAUUACGCUGUUAUCCCUAAAGUAACUUAAUUUUAUAAUCAUUAAAAAUGGAUCAUAUAUUCAUAAAUCAAUGAUAUAAAUUUUAAAAGUUAUUCAAAUUUUAAUAUCACCCCAAUAAAAUAUAUUAUAUUAUUAUAAUCAAAUAAAUCCUAAAAAUUAAAAUAAAAUACAUAUAUAAAGAUUUAUAGGGUCUUCUCGUCUUUUAAAAAAAUUUUAGCUUUUUGACUAAAAAAUAAAAUUUUAUUUUAAAUUUAAAUGAAACAGUUAAUAUUUCGUCCAACCAUUCAUUCCAGCCUUCAAUUAAAAGACUAUUGAUUAUGCUACCUUUGCACAGUUAAAAUACUGCGGCCAUUUAAAAAAUCAGUGGGCAGG
rnacentral:rRNA from 1 species